GGGGACGUGGUGUACGGUGCACCGCUGCUCUCACUGAGGAGAUGAAAAAAUAGUGUUGAAGCAGCAAGACGGGGUUCGACUCCCCGUGUCCCCA